GAACGAGAAAGUCCCGCAAGGGAUGAGUAAAGUGGCGUACGGGUGAGUAACACGUAGCUAACCUACCCUCGAGUGGGGAAUAACCUGGGGAAACUCGGGCUAAUACCCCAUAACAUCCGGGAUGCAUAAGUAAUCCGGAGCAAGGGCCCGCAAGGGUCGCUUGAGGAGGGGGCUGCGGCCGAUUAGCUAGUUGGUGAGGUAAUGGCCCACCAAGGCAACGAUCGGUAGCCGGCCUGAGAGGGCGCACGGCCACACUGGCACUGAAACACGGGCCAGACUCCUACGGGAGGCAGCAGUGGGGAAUUUUGCACAAUGCCCGAAAGGGUGAUGCAGCAACGCCGCGUGAGGGAUGAAGGUCUUCGGAUCGUAAACCUCUUUCGACCGGGAAAAAUGGGCGGGUGAACAGCCCGUUCUGAUGGUACCGGUGGAAGAAGCCCCGGCUAACUACGUG
rnacentral:rRNA from 1 species